CCCUUAGAUGUUCUGGGCCGCACGCGCGCUACACUGACGAAUGCAACGAGCUUAUAACCUUGGCCGAAAGGUCUGGGUAAUCUCCAAAUUUCGUCGUGAUGGGGAUAGAUUAUUGCAAUUAUUAAUCUUCAACGAGGAAUUCCUAGUAAACGCAAGUCAUCAGCUUGCAUUGAUUACGUCCCUGCCCUUUGUACACACCGCCCGUCGCACCUACCGAUUGAAUGGUCCGGUGAAAUCCUCGGAUCGAGCCGUGGGGCAACUCCGGUUCGAGAAGUUGAUUAAACCUUACCAUUUAGAGGAAGGUGAAGUCGUAACA
rnacentral:rRNA from 1 species